rnacentral:lncRNA from 9 species
CACCAGUGUGGGCCAGGCUGACAUGGGCAUUUACUGCUGUAUGGCACGAAAUGUGGCCAAUGCCUGCCACAGCCAGGAUGCUCAGCUGACCUUGAAGGUGGGAUCCCCACAGCUGCUGCAGGAACUCGAGAUCCUGUCUGGGCCUCAGAACCUGACUCUCAAGCACACUGAUGCUGGCAGGGAUCUCAGCCAAGGAUGAGGCCAUCUACCAAUGUGUGGCAGAGAACAGUGCAGGCUCCAACCAGGCUAGUGCCCGCCUGGCUGUGACAGGAGACCUUGAGCCACCCCCUGCCUCCAAGGGUCUGCAGGCAGUGGCUCUCUCCCCUUCUGCCAUCCAAGUGUCCUGAGAACAUCAUCAGCUAUGUGCUGCACCUCCAGCCUGUGGGAGGUGAGUGUAGAUGGGUGGACAGAAGUCCCUGGCCCCAACCCACUUCUGCCCCUGACUGGGAGUGUUCCUGGGCGAGUCCCUCU